rnacentral:rRNA from 1 species
UCUCGGACGGUGGUUCCCUCGUUCGGUUUCGGACGGGCGCGACAUCGGCCAGCCCGAUGCGAGACUCCUCUCCUCAUCAUUCUGACCACGCGACAUAUAAUAACCGCCGCCCUCGGCUCGGACGAGACCACCCGCUGAACUUAAGCAUAUCGCUAAGCGGAGGAAAAGAAACCAACCGGGAUUCCCUUAGUAACGGCGAGUGAACCGGGAGAAGCCCAACGCCGAAUCCCGUCGCAAUUAAAAAGGCUUCGGGACAUGUGGCGCAUGGGUCGAAGGCAGUCGUUCGUUUUCGUCUCGCGUAGUUCGGAGUUCCCUCGAUCGGGGCCGCCCGCGGCGGGUGCCAGGCCCAUUCGGUGCGGACGGCGAGCGACGGCCUUCGAUCCGAGAGUCGGGUUGCUUGGGAACGCAGCCCAAAUCGGGUGGUAAGCUCCAUCCAAGGCUAAAUACCGGGACGAGUCCGAUAGUCGACAAGUACCGUGAGGGAAAGUUGAAAAGAACUUUGGAGAGAGAGUUCAAGAGAACGUGAAACCGCCCAGGGGUAAACGGGUGGGACCGCUCACCGCGAUCGCGGGGGGACUCAGUCCGGUGCUGCCUAGGCUCGAGCCCAAACUCGAUGUGUUCUUGAAAAAGAGGCCGUCGCGGAAAAAACAAGGUCGUUUUCGCGUCCGCGGGGAACUCGUUUUCCUCGUGGGCCAGCUUUUGCGCCCGCGUCGCCGACGGAGGAGACGGGCCGCGUGGAUAGCGGGAAGGGAAACGUGGCGUCUCGGCGCCGCUUCUUCUUUCCUCCUGCUCCCUCUGCGCGCGACUCCGCUGCACUCGUCUCCUUCUCAACGCUCGGCGAUCAUGGCGCGGGCGCUUCGGCGCGACCUCCGCGUGGCCGGCACCGGGCGCACUUCCCCUCCGGUCCGUCGUCGCGACCCGUUCCUGGCGUGCAGGUCGACCCGCGGGUAUUUUGCCGUAGACGGCUGGCGUUUCACUCGCUGAAAACUCUCGCCCCUUUUCCGGGGCGGGGGCCGCCGGCCGUCGGGCCCGCGAACGUAACUGCCCCUUUCUGCCGGGGACGGAGGAAAAUCUGACACGAUCCGUUACACGUGGCGAGCCGGUCCGUCUUUAAUCCUGCCGGAAGUCGUGCGCGGGCGACCCUCGCGGUCGCUCCUUCGGCGCCCCACCGUCUCGGGCGCGCGCGCGGCGAUAGGCGGGAGAGGACCGGCGCGGCCUCGCCGUCACGCACCUCGCCGACGCUUCGGGCCUCGCCGUCACGCGUGAGCCCGUCCCGUUUCUGGAGAGGUCGCUCGGCGACGCCUCUAAUCGGCCGUCCGCCACCCCGGGUCAGCGACGUGCAUCGGCAACCCACCCGACCCGUCUUGAAACACGGACCGAGGAGUCCUGGCCGUUCGCGAGUCGUAGGGGCCCCCUCUGACUAACCCCGAAGGCGUAGCGAAAGCGAGCGAGCGCGCAGGAGGGCGCCGAUCGGGAGAGGUGUCGUGGCGAAGUCGUCUGGGGGUCGUCGGGGGUUGGGAGAGGUCGUCGGCCUCGUGCCGCGCGUCUUCUUUCUCUUACUCUCGCCUCACCCGCUUCCGAGCCGUGCCCGAUCCCGCCGGCGCGGCGUUCCCGGCCUUCCGCCGCCGCUGCUGCGGUGCCCGCACGCUUCCUCUUCGCGAGGAGACGGAGGGCCCGUGGCUGGCGCGCGGUCGCCUUUUUCCCUCCUCCCCGAGAGGGGACCGGUGCACUUCAUUCAUCGUCAGGGAAAUGCCGGGCGUCGAUCCUCCUGCCGCCCAUCGGUGAGAUCCCGCGGCUUGAACUAGUCCUAUUUUGUCGUCGAGUUUAGGCGCUGUGCGCGGGCGCAUCACCCCCGGGUCGGUUCCCCUUUUCCGAGUACGACUCGGCCGACUCUGGCGUAGCGAGCGACCAGGGACCCGAAAGAUGGCGAUCCACGCCCGGUCGGGAUGAAGCCAGAGGAAACUCUGGUGGAAGUCCGAAGCGCCUCUGACGUGCAAAUCGAUCGUCGGAACCGGGUGUAGGGGCGAAAGACCAAUCGAGCCGUCUAGUAGCUGGUUCCCUCCGAAGUUUCCCUCAGGAUAGCUGGCGCUCGAUCGUCGCAAUUCCAUCCGGUAAAGCGAACGAUUGGAGGCCCCGGGGCCGUUCACGGCCUCGACCUACUCUCGAACUCGGAACGGGUGGAACGGGCCGACUCUCCCGAACGACGGAGCCGACCCCCCUACCUCUCCGAAAGGGGCGGUGAUCUCGAAUGCGAGUGCCAAGUGGGCCACUUUUGGUAAGCAGAACUGGCGCUGUGGGAUGAACCAAACGUCCGGCUAAGGUGCCUAACGCGACGCCCAUGAGAUCCCCGAAAGGGUGUCGGUCGAUAUAGACAGCAGGACGGUGGCCACGGAAGUCGGAAUCCGCUAAGGAGUGUGUAACAACUCACCUGCCGAAUCGACCGGCCCCGAAAAUGGAUGGCGCUGGAGCGACGGACCGAUGCCGGACCGUCGCGGCGAGGAGCGAUGUGACUCUCGCGCCGAAACGAUGCCGCGACGAGUAGGAGGGCGCCGCGGUGAGCACGGAAGCCUAGGGCGCGAGCCCGGGUGGAGCCGACCGCGGGUGCAGAUCUCGGUGGUAGUAGCAAAUAUUCGAACGAGACCUUCGAAGACCGAAGUGGAGAAGGGUUCCGUGCCAACGGCGGUCGAGCACGGGUCAGUCGGUCCUAAGACGCGGGCGAAAGUCUUCCCGAAAGGCGCCGGAUCCGUUAACGAAGCGAGAAUCGAAAAAACGAAAACGUGAACGUGUACGUGAACGGUUGAGAAUUUUCGAAACGAAACGUGCAGAAAAGCGGCCGGCCUCCCGUCGAAAGGGAAUCGGGUUAAUAUUCCCGAACCCGGACUCGGAGAGGGCCCGGGGGUGGCGACGCCGUCGGCAGCGAUGUCGGCGGCGCCCGUCGCUUCUCGGGCGAAACCGCGGUGACGCAAGCGAGCCCGGAGACGUCGCCGGGAGCCCCGGGAAGAGUUCUCUCUUCUUCGUAAAGGACCAUGUCCGUGGAAUCGGCUCGUCCGGAGAUACGGAAAAGGUACCUGUAGAGCGCCGCGGCUCGGGCGGCGUCCGGUGCGCUUUCGGCGGCCCUGGAAAAUCCGGGUCCGGUUUUCGCAGCUCUCGAGUCGGUCCGUACCCACCAUCCGCAGCAGGUCUCCAAGGUGUACAGCCUCUCGUCGAUGGCAUCAAUGUAGGUAAGGGAAGUCGGCAAAAUGGAUCCGUACCUUCGGAAGAAGGAUUGGCUCCGAGGACCGGGUCGGUCGGGCCGUGCCCGCGCGAAGCGAGGAACCGGUACGGGGCUGUAGCGUUCGCUCCGUUCGCGCUUUGAGGCGAUGGCAUAGGGGCCGCGGCGGUCCGUCGCGCGUUUGCGGCGUCCGGCACGAAGGCGGUAGCGGUCUAAGCGGGUCGUUGUCGGUAGGUGGAGAGCGAUACGGGUGGGAGUCCGCCGUCGGGCGGCAGGAGUGCGGCGUCGACCAAAAACGGCUGGGGACCGUCUGCAGGGUCGUCUUCCUGGUGGCGGCGGUCAAAGCGGCGCGGUUUCCGGGGGCUCUUCGCUCCGGGGUCGGGGUGACGGCGGGCGGCCUCGCGGCUGUUCGUCGCUCGUCUCCUUCCUCCUCGAAAAGGGGUGAGGCGGCUUUCUCGGCCGCGUCGUCGUCGCUUGCCGGUGCGCUCUUGCCGGCACCCUCGUCGCGGCGCCCUCCGCUCCUGCGCUGUCCGCGCGGUUCUUCCUCUCUUCUCCAUCCUGCUCUUCUUCCCGUCGCUAUCUGCCCGACGUCGGUCGCGCCGCGCGCCGGCGGGACUCGACCGUCUGCGGUACCGCCUCGUCACUACCGGCGCGUCGGGUGGCGAGCAAAACGGCUCCUCGCCCGGGUCUUCGUGGAGCGCCACGGCUUCCAGCCCCUCUUCGGGUGAAGGCGGGUACUGCCUCGCGGUGGCGCCCGUCCCUCUUCGCCCGUUGCUCAGCGUCUCUCUCGGCGUGGGGGCGUUCGUCCGGCAGCGAACGGUCGACUCGGAACUGGUACGGACCGGGGGAAUCCGACUGUCUAAUUAAAACAAAGCAUCGUGUGGCCGGUCGACCCGUACAGACACGAUGUGAUUUCUGCCCAGUGCUCUGAAUGUCAAAGUGAAGAAAUUCAACCAAGCGCGGGUAAACGGCGGGAGUAACUAUGACUCUCUUAAGGUAGCCAAAUGCCUCGUCAUCUAAUUAGUGACGCGCAUGAACGGAUCAACGAGAUUCCCACUGUCCCUACCUACUAUCUAGCGAAACCACAGCCAAGGGAACGGGCUUGGAACGAUCGGCGGGGAAAGAAGACCCUGUUGAGCUUGACUCUAGUCCGACUCUGUGAGGAGACACGGGAGGUGUAGCAUAGGCGGGAGGCGUGCCUUCGUCGGCGUCGGCUGCGCCGCGGUCGGGGUCUUCCGCGGGGCGGCGCGCGGGGCGUUGCGUUCCGGGCGGUUUCGGGUCAGGGUUAGGCGUAUCGUCGUCUCUUCCCGAGUAUACGGUCGUCUUCUCCUUUCUCACCGCCGUCCCGGCUGCGCGCGUCUUUGUUUGCGCCUCACCUCGUCGGUCCUCCUUCCGGCCGUGGUCUGCGCCGGCGUCGUUCGGCUACGUCGAACCUGAAAUACCGCCACUUCCGUCGUUUCCUCGCUCACCCGGUGAAAAAGGGGACGGGUCGCUUCGCGGCCCUCUUGCUAGCGCCAAGGGCGCGGGCUCCCACGAUUCUGGAUUCCGCGCUCGACCCUUAGCCGGGGACCGUGCCGGGCGGGGAGUUUGACUGGGGCGGUACGUCUGUCAAACGGUAACGCAGGUGUCCCAAGGCGAGCUCAGCGAGGACGGAAACCUCGCGUAGAGCAAAAGGGCAAAAGCUCGCUCGAUCUCGAUUUUCAGUACGAAUACGGACCGCGAAAGCGUGGCCCAUCGAUCCUUUCCGAGCGGAGAGCUCCGUUCCGCCGAGAGGUGUCAGAAAAGUUACCACAGGGAUAACUGGCUUGUGGCGGCCAAGCGUUCGUAGCGACGUCGCUUUUUGAUCCUUCGAUGUCGGCUCUUCCUAUCAUUGCGAAGCAGAAUUCGCCAAGCGUUGGAUUGUUCACCCACUGACAGGGAACGUGAGCUGGGUUUAGACCGUCGUGAGACAGGUUAGUUUUAUCCUACCGAUCGACACGUGUGCAACGUCGGCCGUGGCCACGGCUAUCCCGUCCAGUACGAGAGGAACCGCGGGAUCGGAGCAACGGUUCGCGUGCUCGCUCGAACGAGCGGCGGUGCCACGCUGCCUCCGCGCGAUAACGGCUGAAAGCCUCUAAGCCGGAACCGCGACCGGUGCCGUCACGGUAUUACGAAAGGCGUCUCUUUCCGUUCCGCUGGAGCCUGCCAUAGCGGUCGUCGUCGCUUGUGGUGGUGGCGGCGGUGGUGGUUUCGUCGGCGGUCCUCACGGGCCGUCGUCGGGUCGCUGUCGUCGUUGCUGCUGACGCGGCGGCGUGCGCGAACGGGCCAACCGACUCGACAUGCGCGACCGGCGGGAUGUUGCCGUCGCCGUCCUGUUUCGAACCCCCUGUGGAGCGUGAGACGAGGGAUCGCUCGUAGACCACUUGACUUCAGGCUCGGGGUGUCGUACUUAGUAGAGCAGCCACCACACUGCGAUCUAUUGAGACUAAGCCCUCGACCGACCCGAUUCGUCCUCUGCGAAGGACGACCGUUUUCCUUCUCUCCUUUUCGGGGUGGGGAGAGAGAGAGAGAGAAACCUUCCUCCUGGUUCCGUUCCGUUCCGUUUCGAUUUCUUUGGGGUCGGUGUUCGUGUAUUCCAGUACCAUAUAUUCAUAUAUUGGUAUUGGUACCGGACACUUUUCGUUUUUUUCUCCUUUUUU